GAUGAACGCUGGCGGCGUGCCUAAUACAUGCAAGUCGAGCGAACAGACGAGGAGCUUGCUCCUCUGAUGUUAGCGGCGGACGGGUGAGUAACACGUGGAUAACCUACCUAUAAGACUGGGAUAACUUCGGGAAACCGGAGCUAAUACCGGAUAACAUGUUGAACCGCAUGGUUCAACAGUGAAAGACGGUCUUGCUGGCACUUAUAGAUGGAUCCGCGCCGCAUUAGCUAGUUGGUAAGGUAACGGCUUACCAAGGCAACGAUGCGUAGCCGACCUGAGAGGGUGAUCGGCCACACUGGAACUGAGACACGGUCCAGACUCCUACGGGAGGCAGCAGUAGGGAAUCUUCCGCAAUGGGCGAAAGCCUGACGGAGCAACGCCGCGUGAGUGAAGAAGGUCUUCGGAUCGUAAAACUCUGUUAUUAGGGAAGAACAAAUGUGUAAGUAACUAUGCACGUCUUGACGGUACCUAAUCAGAAAGCCACGGCUAACUACGUG
rnacentral:rRNA from 1 species